GCAUCGAUGAAGAACGCAGCGAAAUGCGAUAAGUAAUGUGAAUUGCAGAAUUCAGUGAAUCAUCGAAUCUUUGAACGCACCUUGCACUCUUUGGUAUUCCAAAGAGUAUGCCUGUUUGAGUGUCAUGGAAUUCUCAUCACUUUGAUACUUUUGUAGCAAAGUGUUGGACUUGGAGGCUGUGUUGGCGCAAGUCAACUCCUCUGAAAUAUAUGAGUGUGAAUCUUUACGGAUCACUAUCAGUGUGAUAAUUUGUCUACGCUGUGGUGCUGAAGUAUUUAUAAUGUUCAUGCUUCUAACUGUCUGUAUAGACAACCUUGACAAUUUGACCUCAAAUCAGGUAGAACUACCCGCUGAACUUAAGCAUAUCAAUAAGCGGAGGA
rnacentral:rRNA from 1 species